rnacentral:rRNA from 1 species
AUGGCGGGGGUUCUGGAUGCUUUGGCAUCCUACUUGACCAGCAUGCUCACCGAGAUGGCCAAAGAGGAGGUGGCCAUGCUAAUCGGCGUGUCCGAUGGGAUCAAAGACCUAAGCAUCAAGCUUGGGGACCUCAAGAAUUUCCUUGCUGAUGCUGAUAGGAGGAACAUUACCGAUGAUAGUGUGCGGGGGUGGGCGGGCGAACUGAAGCGUGCCAUGUACCUAGCCACUGACAUCGUCGACCUAUGUCAGCUCAAGGCCAUGGAGAAAGGUCAAACAAAGGACAGGGGGUGCCUUAACCCUCUACUUUUUUGCAUGCGGAAUCCCCUCCACGCCCACGACAUCGGCACCCGCAUCAAGGCAUUGAACAAGGAGCUGGAUAGCAUCUGCGAGCAGGGCAAUAAAUUUAAAUUUGCCAAGCUAGAAGCCUACCAAGACUUGAAGGUUACUCGAUCACUUGCCACUGACCGCAAAACAGAUUCACUGAUGGAGCAGUCAGGUGUUGUUGGCGAAAAGAUUGAGGUGGACACAAGAGCACUCGUGGAGGUGCUUACAAGUGAGGGGGGUGGCGACAAGACUGGUCGCCACAUAAAGGUCUUCAAUGACGAGGCUAUCCAAGGCAAGUUCACUAAGAAGAUAUGGCUUAGCAUCACACAGGAUUUCACAGUUGUUGAGCUAUUAAGUACAGCCAUCAUUGCCGCUGGGGGAGACCUGCCUAAAGGGAGCGGGGCUCUAAACAGGGCCCUACUUGUCGAUGCUCUCAAGAACGCCAUCGAGAACAAGAAAUUCCUUCUUGUGCUCGAUGAUAUGUGGGGAGCUGAUGCAUGGAACAAACUGCUCAUGACUCCCUUUGGCUAUGGUGGCCCGGGCAGCCGAGUCCUCAUCACCACAAGAAGUGAAACUGUGGCGAGAAACAUGAAAGCUGCACACUGCCACCACAUUGACAAGUUAGGGCCCGAAGAUGCAUGGUCACUGCUCAAGAAUCAGAUACUCACUACAGAGGAGAAUGGUCAUGAGGUUGAUGUGCUAAAGGAAAUUGGGUUGCAAAUUGUAGAAAAAUGUGACGGUUUACCACUCGCUAUAAAAGUAAUGGGGGGACUUCUAUGCAGCAAGGAGAAAUCACGGUUUGCAUGGGAAGAUGUCCUGAAUGAUGACAUAUGGUCAGUAUCUCCAAUGUCAGAUGAACUAAACUAUGCAAUUUAUCUUAGCUACAAGGACUUGCCCUCUUACUUAAAACAAUGCUUCCUGCACUUCUCCCUUAAACCCAAAAAGUCUGUGCUGAGUCUUAGUAAAAGAGGCUCAACUAGUUUGGAAGAAGAAGGGAAAAGGAACUAUAAAGAGCUAAUAUUAAGGAACCUUAUAGAGAUAGAUCCAUCAUUUCCUAGCCAACUUAUCUGCAACAUGCAUGAUGUCAUCCGCUCAUUUGCUCAAUUUAUGGCUAGGGAUGAAACACUAGUAGCUCACAAUGGAGAUACUGCUAGAGAAAACCUUAAAUCAUCAAAUUUUCUUAGACUGUCUAUAGAAACCAAAGGUGUGGGAACAGAUGAAUUUGAGUGGAUAUAUUUAAGAGAGCAGAAAUUGCUUAGGUCACUAAUAUUAACUGGAAACCUCAAAACUCAGCCUGGUGAUUCGUUGAGUAUCUUCCCAAGUCUACGUCUUCUGCAUAUAUAUUCUGCAAAUAUUGCUGCACUAGUUGAAUCUAUGUACCAACUCAAGCACUUGAGAUAUUUGUCAUUAAAUAAGACUGAUAUUUGUAGACUACCGGAGAACAUCCAUGAGAUGAAAUUCCUACAGCAUAUUAGCCUUGAAGGUUGUGAAAUUUUCAUGAAACUUCCUGAUAGCAUUAUCAAGAUGCAAGGGUUGAGGUUCCUUGAUAUUGUUGACACUCGUGUACUGAAUGGGUUUCCAGCCUAUAUUGAUGGUGACUGGUGUAGUAUGGAAGAGUUGGGGCCUCUUUCACAGCUCAAUUGUCUUUCACUAUGGUGUCUACAAAAUGUAUCUAGUGCCUUGUUGGCUGCAAAGGCGAGGGUAAAUGAAAAGGAAAAUCUUACCAAACUUGUUUUAAAAUGUGGUGGUAGAGUGGGAGAUGGGUUGGUCCAAGGAUCAGUCUCUAAGUCAAAGGAGGAGCAAAUAAUUGAGGCGGUGUUUGAUGUGCUAUGUCCUCAGCCUUGCAUAGAACACAUCAAAAUAAAAGGAUAUUUUGGCCGCCGGCUCCCAGGAUGGAUGACAUCCACAGCUAUGGUGCCUCUCGAGGGCUUGAAGAUUCUAGUCCUCGAACAGCUGCCUUGCUGCACCCAACUCCCAGAUGGCUUGUGCAGGCUCCCGUAUUUGGAGUGGAUAAAAGUGGACGGGGCUCCAGUAAUCAAGUGUGUUGGUCCUGAAUUCGUGCAACAGUACAAUCAGCUCCACGGUCCUUCAUAUCAGUUGGCUGCUACAUUUCCCAAACUCCAUAACUUGUAUUUGUCUGGAAUGAAGCAAUGGGAGGAGUGGGUUUGGGAGACAGAAGUGAAAUCUAUGCCCUUAUUGGAGAAGCUACAAAUAUGGAACGUCCAAGUUCUCCACUCUUUAGAGAACUUUGUUUCUGUAGUUGAGCUCGACUUGGGAAACAUACCCGAACUGGCCAAGAUCUCCAAUCUUCCAAAAUUACAAAAGCUUAUAAUCAAGUACUGCCCAAAGCUCGAGACGCUGCAGGAGAUGGCUGCACUCCGGAGACUCGAGCUGAGAGUUUCCAGGUGGGAAAGCCAACUUCCAGAUUACCUGCAAACUAUAAAGCCUAGUCAUUUGCUGCUGACCUGCAGCCUUGAAGUACUCACUUCCAUGGCUGAGGGUGAAUCUAGCUCCGAGUGGGACAAGUUCAGUCAUAUCAAGCAAGUCGAGGCUUAUGCAAAGGAUGGACAGGAUGAGAAGAAAUGGCACGUGCUCUACACAUCUGAACCCUGCAGCAUACAGACAAAUAUUCAUCAGGUAAUACUUUGGUCUUUGUUGAUGUAA